UGGGGAAUUUUGGACAAUGGGCGAAAGCCUGAUCCAGCAAUGCCGCGUGUGUGAAGAAGGCCUUCGGGUUGUAAAGCACUUUUAUCCGGAGCGAAAUCUCUUAGGCUAAUAUCCUGAGAGUCUGACGGUACCGGAGGAAUAAGCACCGGCUAACUACGUGCCAGCAGCCGCGGUAAUACGUAGGGUGCGAGCGUUAAUCGGAAUUACUGGGCGUAAAGCGUGCGCAGGCGGUUGUGUAAGACAGAUGUGAAAGCCCCGGGCUUAACCUGGGAACUGCAUUUGUGACUGCACGGCUAGAGUGUGUCAGAGGGAGGUGGAAUUCCGCGUGUAGCAGUGAAAUGCGUAGAGAUGCGGAGGAACACCGAUGGCGAAGGCAGCCUCCUGGGAUAACACUGACGCUCAUGCACGAAAGCGUGGGGAGCAAACAGG
rnacentral:rRNA from 1 species